rnacentral:lncRNA from 1 species
UAUGCGGCCAUAGGCGGCAUCAUAAACUUCUUGGGGAUGGUCUCUUGCUGUACCCACUUCGAGAAGGGCGAAGAGGUGGGCAGGAGGGUCUGGUUCUGAUCCUUCGUUCCUAACUCGGCCAAGAGUUGCUCUCUCAUCUUUUGCAACUUCUGGUCUACACUCUCCCCUUCCCGCCUGGGCUUCUUCUCCUGGUGGGCCUCCUCUUCCCAUGUCUCACUCCCCAUUCUUCCGAUGGUUCCGGCGGAG